UACGGAGGGAGCUAGCGUUGUUCGGAAUUACUGGGCGUAAAGGGCUCGUAGGCGGCCAACUAAGUCAGACGUGAAAUCCCUCGGCUUAACCGGGGAACUGCGUCUGAUACUGGAUGGCUUGAAUCCGGGAGAGGGAUGCGGAAUUCCAGGUGUAGCGGUGAAAUGCGUAGAUAUCUGGAGGAACACCGGUGGCGAAGGCGACAUCCUGGACCGGUAUUGACGCUGAGUGAGCGAAAGCCAGGGGAGCAAACGGG
rnacentral:rRNA from 1 species